AAAUGAAUAGACGGGGGCCCGCACAAGCGGAGGAACAUGUGGUUUAAUUCGAUGAUACGCGAGGAACCUUACCCGGGUUUAAAUGUUGAUUGCUUUAGUAAGAGAUUACUAUUUCCUUCGGGACGAUCAGCAAGGUGCUGCAUGGUUGUCGUCAGCUCGUGCCGUGAGGUGUCGGGUUAAGUCCCAUAACGAGCGCAACCCUUACCGUUAGUUGCCAUCAGGUUAUGCUGGGGACUCUAUCGGGACUGCCACCGUAAGGUGAGAGGAAGGUGGGGAUGACGUCAAAUCAGCACGGCCCUUAUAUCCGGGGCGACACACGUGUUACAAUGGUUGGUACAGGGGGCAGCUACCAGGUGACUGGGUGCUAAUCUCCAAAACCGAUCUCAGUUCGGAUCGGAGUCUGCAACUCGACUCCGUGAAGUUGGAUUCGCUAGUAAUCGCGCAUCAGCCACGGCGCGGUGAAUAUGUUCCCGGGCCUUGUACACACCGCCCGU
rnacentral:rRNA from 1 species